rnacentral:rRNA from 1 species
CUCGUAGGCGGUUUGUCGCGUCGGAUGUGAAAACUCGGAGCUUAACUCCGGGCCUGCAUUCGAUACGGGCAGACUAGAGUUCGGUAGGGGAGACUGGAACUCCUGGUGUAGCGGUGGAAUGCGCAGAUAUCAGGAAGGACACCGAUGGCGAAGGCAGGUCUCUGGGCCGAUACUGACGCUGAGGAGCGAAAGCGUGGGGAGCGAACA